rnacentral:rRNA from 1 species
CCAAAAACAUAGCCCUUUGAAGAAUAAAAGGUGUUACCUGCCCGGUGAUCUAUAAUUCAAGAAAUAUAAGUACUUAAAAAUAGAUUAAAAGGACGCGGUAUCUUGACCGUGAUAAUGUAGCAUAAUCAUUCGCCAUUUAAUUGAUGGAUAGUAUGAAUGGUAUAACGAGUAUAACACUGUCUCANAUAAAAAUCUUAUAAAAUUAGAAUAAUAGUGAAGAUGCUAUUUUAAACUGUAAGACGAGAAGACCCUAUAGAGCUUAACUAUAACUCUUUAACNAUUAAUAAACUAGUUUGUUANUAAAAAGAGAUAGGUAGUUUAGUUGGGGCGACUACUUUCUAAAAUCAACGAAAGUAAACNAAAUUAAUUAAAAGAUUUACUGUUUAAUUUAUGAAUUUAACAGUUAUUAUAAUAGGUAAUAAUGACCCGUUAACAAUUAAUAAUAGUACUAACGAUCAAUAAAUAAAAGCUACCUUAGGGAUAACAGGAUAAUUUUGUUCUAGAGAUCAAAUCGAAGACAAAGUUUGUCACCUCUAUGUUGAAUUAAGAUAUCCUAAAAGUGCAGAAGCUUUUAAGGGUAGGUCUGUUCGACCUAUAAGAUCUUACAUGAUUUGAG